AGUUCCCUGUCCUAACCACACACGUGUUGUUCAUUCAUUCUCUUUCCUCCUGCAUACGAGAACAGUCAGCAUGAAUGGAGGCGGCAUGAGUGAGUAUUGGCCAUCCAACCCACCUGGCUGAAGGGAAGCUCAUUGAUGACUAUAAUGUAUUAGUUACAAAGACCUGCGUGUGGGUUAUGCCUCAAUGCCAGAGUCACGUGGAAUCAUCCACUAACAGUUAACCAUGAACUAGUAAUUAAUGGCAAAGUCUGUCAGAGAAACAGAAGACUGUAGUGCCUUGCUUAGUAGAUACAAUUGAUGGCCUUCCCUCUGGGACGCGUGCAGUGAUUGUGGUGCCUUGGUCUCCCACCAUCAGAUGCCAUUCAGAUAUUUCUGAAAGAGGAAGUUUAUAUUGUAUGCCAUAUUUAUUUUAAGUGUAUUGUCUUGCCAAUAAACAAGUGUUUUUCCCACUC